UGAGUACGAGAUGCUACGGCAUCGAAGCAGUCUAUGUCAUACUUCCAAGAAGAGCUUGCACUGUCAUAAACAAAGAAUGCCUGUACCAUAACCGACACAGGUGGGUAGGUAGAGUAUACUAAGGGGCGCGAGAUAACUCUCUCUAAGGAACUCGGCAAAAUGACUCCGUAACUUCGGGAGAAGGAGUGCCUUAUUUCUAAGGUUGCAAUAACAAGAUCCAAGCAACUGUUUACCAAAAACACAGGUCUCCGCUAAGUCGUAAGACGAUGUAUGGGGGCUGACGCCUGCCCAGUGCCAGAAGGUUAAAGAAGUUGGUUAGCAUUAGCGAAGCUGAUAACUGAAGCCCUGGUGAACGGCGGCCGUAACUAUAACGUCCUAAGGUAGCGAAAUUCCUUGUCGGGUAAGUUCCGACCCGCACGAAAGGCGUAAUGAUUUGGAUACUGUCUCGGAGAGGGGCUCGGUGAAAUAGACUUGUCUGUGAAGAUGCGGACUACCUGCACCUGGACAGAAAGACCCUAUGAAGCUUUACUGUAACUUGAGAUUGAAAUUGGACUUUAUUUGCGCAGUAUAGGUGGGAGGCGUUGAGAAUAAUCUUGCGGGAUUGUUGGAGCCAUCAGUGAGAUACCACUCUUGUAAUGUUAGAUUUCUAACUUUGUAUCAUUAUCUGGUCAAAGAACAGUUUCAGGCGGGCAGUUUGACUGGGGCGGUCGCCUCCCAAAGGGUAACGGAGGCGCACAAAGGUUUCCUCUGAACGGGUAGAAAUCGUAUCUAGAGUGUAAAGGCAUAAGGAAGCUUGACUGUGAGACCUACAAGUCGAGCAGGGACGAAAGUCGGUCUUAGUGAUCUGACGGUGCUGAGUGGAAAGGCCGUCACUCAACGGAUAAAAGUUACUCUAGGAUAACAGGCUGAUCUCCCCCAAGAGUUCACAUCGACGGGGAGGUUUGGCACCUCGAUGUCGGCUCAUCGCAUCCUGGGGCGGUAGUCCGUCCCAAGGGUUGGGCUGUUCGCCCAUGAAAGCGGUACGCGAGCUGGGUUCAGAACGUCGUGAGACAGUUCGGUCCAUAUCCGGUGUAGGCGUUAGAAUAUUGAGAGGAGCCUUCUCUAGUACGAGAGGACCGAGAAGGACAUACCUCUGGUGUACCAGUUAUCGUGCCAACGGUAAACGCUGGGUAGCUAUGUAUGGAGUGGAUAACCGCUGAAAGCAUCUAAGUGGGAAGCCCACCUCAAGAUAAGUAUUCUCAUC
rnacentral:rRNA from 1 species